GCCGGGAUAGCUCAGUGGUAGAGCACCUGAUUGUGGAUCAGGAGGCGGGGGUUCGAUACCCCCUCCCGGUA
rnacentral:tRNA from 2 species